rnacentral:rRNA from 1 species
GAUGAACGCUGGCGGCGUGCCUAAUACAUGCAAGUCGAACGCUGGAACUCUAGCUUGCUAGAUUGAAGGAGUGGCGAACGGGUGAGUAAUACAUAAGCAACCUACCCACGAAGACUGGGAUAAUCUCUGGAAACGGGGACUAAUACCGGAUAGGUAAUCGGAAGGCAUCUUCUGAUUAUUAAAGGUUAAAAACACUGGUGGAUGGGCUUAUGGCGCAUUAGUUAGUUGGUGAGGUAACGGCCCACCAAGACGAUGAUGCGUAGCCGGCCUGGGAGGGUGAACGGCCACAUUGGGACUGGGACACGGCCGAGAGUGAUACGGGAGGCAGCAGUAGGGAAUUUUCGGGAGUGGAAGAAAGCCUGACCGAGCAACGCCGCGUGAGUGAUGACGGCCUUCGGGUUGUAAAGCUCUGUUGUAAGGGAAGAACGGUAGAUAGAGAAUAUCUAAAUGACGGUACCUUACCAGAAAGCCACGGCUAACUACGUG